GCCGGGAUAGCUCAGUUGGUAGAGCAGGGGA
rnacentral:tRNA from 9 species